UGGUUCAAUGGUUAAGAACACUUGACUGUUCUUCCAGAGGUUCUGGGUUCAAUUCCCAG
rnacentral:tRNA from 1 species